rnacentral:rRNA from 1 species
GAUGAACGCGGGCGGUGUGCGUAAUACAUGCAAGUCGAACGCGUUGGCCCAACUGAUUGACGAUGCUUGCAUCCGAUUGACGUUGGAUUUCCAACGAGUGGCGGACGGGUGAGUAACACGUAGGUAACCUGCCCAGAAGCGGGGGAUAACAUCUGGAAACAGGUGCUAAUACCGCAUAACAAUUCAAAUCGCAUGGUUUGAAUUUAAAAGAUGGCUCUGCUAUCACUUCUGGACGGACCUGCGGCGCAUUAGCUUGUUGGUAGGGUAAUGGCCUACCAAGGCAGUGAUGCGUAGCCGAGUUGAGAGACUGAUCGGCCACAAUGGGACUGAGACACGGCCCAUACUCCUACGGGAGGCAGCAGUAGGGAAUCUUCCACAAUGGGCGCAAGCCUGAUGGAGCAACACCGCGUGAGUGAAGAAGGGUUUCGGCUCGUAAAGCUCUGUUGUUGAAGAAGAACGUGCAUGAGAGUAACUGUUCAUGCAGUGACGGUAUUCAACCAGAAAGUCACGGCUAACUACGUGCCAGCAGCCGCGGUAAUACGUAGGUGGCAAGCGUUAUCCGGAUUUAUUGGGCGUAAAGAGAGUGCAGGCGGUUUCUUAAGUCUGAUGUGAAAGCCUUCGGCUCAACCGAAGAAGUGCAUCGGAAACUGGGAGACUUGAGUACAGAAGAGGGCAGUGGAACUCCAUGUGUAGCGGUGGAAUGCGUAGAUAUAUGGAAGAACACCAGUGGCGAAGGCGGCUGCCUGGUCUGUAACUGACGCUGAGACUCGAAAGCAUGGGUAGCGAGCAGG